rnacentral:rRNA from 1 species
AUCUGCCUUCAGGAUGGGGACAACAGUUGGAAACGACUGCUAAUACCCAAUGUGCCUACGGGUGAAACCUUUUUUGGCCUGAAGAUGAGCUCGCGUCUGAUUAGCUAGUUGGUGGUGUAAUGGACUCACCAAGGCAACGAUCAGUAGCUGGUCUGAGAGGAUGAGCAGCCACACUGGGACUGAGACACGGCCCAGACUCCUACGGGAGGCAGCAGUGGGGAAUUUUCCGCAAUGGGCGAAAGCCUGACGGAGCAAUACCGCGUGAGGGAGGAAGGUUCUUGGAUUGUAAACCUCUUUUCUCAGGGAAGAAAAAAAUGACGGUACCUGAGGAAUAAGCAUCGGCUAACUCCGUGCCAGCAGCCGCGGUAAUACGGGGGAUGCAAGCGUUAUCCGGAAUUAUUGGGCGUAAAGAGUCCGUAGGUGGUCUUGCAAGUCGACUGUCAAAGCCCGCAGCUUAACUGCGGAGAGGCGGUGGAAACUGUGAGACUAGAGUAUGGUAGGGGUAGAGGGAAUUCCCAGUGUAGCGGUGAAAUGCGUAGAUAUUGGGAAGAACACCGGUGGCGAAAGCGCUCUACUGGACCAUAACUGACACUCAGGGACGAAAGCCAAGGUAGCG